GUGGAGACAAGUCCACAGAAUCAACAGUGCAAGGCCGGACCUAUGUACUCAUUGUUCUCAGAAAUAAGAAGUGUUGUCUGGAAAUUAAAACGGGUGUCUGAGGUUAUACUUUUUUCUUGCAUCUUGAUUCUUACAGUUAAGAACAAACAUGAUGUUGUUGCCUGUGUUUUCCUUAGAACCACAGAAUGGCUUGGGUUGGAAGGGACCUCAGUGAUCAUCCAGUUCCACCCCGUGCCGUGGGCAGGUUUGACAGCUUAUUUGGGCACCUUUAUGGGCACAGAGCUGUGGAUGCCUCUGCCCUUCACGAUGACUUUCCUCAAGUACUUGAAUUGAUCUUUUUCCCAGAUGAAGACAUACACUGUUCUGAACCACAUUUGAGGGUGUUCCCAACUAAGCUUGGUUAGAAUUUAAACUAAUAGGUGGGUGUUCCAUGAGAAGACAGACGACAAUUGGAACUGUAUCAGGCGCAUGUAGCAAACAAGGAUGAAGCUAUAAGGACUCAUUGCCAAGAAAUGUUCCUGGAUACACACCUUCACCUCCUCUCGCAGAGAACUAUUGAUGGGCUUGCGUGGCUGACAUAGUUAUGAAGAAACUUUUUGUACAAGGUAUGAGUGUAUGUGCAUGUGCACUGUUGCAUUUAGUGCUAAAAUAAUUGCCUGAGGUGCAAAACAGGCAAAAUCAGAAAUGCAAGGAAUGGAAUAAAUGAGACUGCCAAGUCAGGUCUGUACCCUUUUUACCCUUCUAGAUAGUCAGGAUUCUCCUUCUGUGAGAAACCCACUUGCCUGCUCCCUGGGCUGUUAGCAGGAAGGAUUGAUUUGAGGCCUUUACCUGUGCAGUUCCAGCUGGGACAUUCAGAUGGUGCAGGCAGUACAUGAAUGGUUGUUGAAAAUAAUAAUAUUCCAUCACUAAUGGUACCACGUAAUAGUAGGAAGAAAGAAGGCUUAUGAUUUAUAUUAUGUGUCAUGCCAGUGUAAAGGAGAAAGAUCUACUGAAGCAUCCACUUGUUUCUCCUGGGAACAUUGCUGUCAGCUCAAGAUUGUGCCCCAAGGUGUGUUUUGACCAAGGGAAAAUAAAAUAGUCACACAGACAGGUGGGUAACUCCAAUCCCAAUAAUGACAGCGGCAUGGCCA